rfam:Coprococcus sp. CAG:782 genomic scaffold, scf52
GGGGUUGACUGGUUUCGACAGGGGUUUUGAAGUUAUGGAAGCCAUCCGUGGCUCAGGACCACGCUAAAACUUGGAAAUUAAAUUUAAACGCUAACGAUAAUUUAGCUUACGCUGCCUAGUUGCAGCUGCCGACUUUAGGGUCCCCCGAGCCCUUUAGACCCGGUAUCAUCCUUCGGGAAACUCUGGUGCCUAAGCUUUGCGGUGUCAGAAAAUUCAUGAAGCUACUAAGAGUCACAUCUUGUCAGUGGGAGGCGGCUUAAGGGAAUGUCAAAGCAUUGACUGUGAUGGAAGAAACUGUAAUGAAUGGGCCUUUGGACGCGGGUUCGACUCCCGCCAGCUCCAGUA